rnacentral:rRNA from 1 species
CACGUAGGGGGCGAGCGUUGUCCGGAUUCAUUGGGCGUAAAGAGCUCGUAGGCGGCUCAGUAAGUCGGGUGUGAAACCCUCAGGCUCAACCUGGGGACGCCACUCGAUACUGCUGUGGCUAGAGUCCAGUAGAGGAGUGUGGAAUUCCCGGUGUAGCAGUGAAAUGCGUAGAGAUCGGGAGGAACAUCAGUUGCGAAGGCGGCUCUCUGGACCAGCACUGACACUGAGGCACGAAAGCGUGGGGAGCAAACAGG